AUGCACGCUGACAGAAUGCUUAACACAUGCAAGUCGAUGGGGAAGUGGUGCUUGCACCAUGGCAACCAUGGCGGACGGGUGAGUAACGCGUAAGGGACUUACCUGCAGGACUGGGAUAACAGGGGGAAACUCCUGACAAGACCGGAUAAUGUCAUGGAGCUGCAUGGCUUUAUGAUGAAAGGAGACGCCUGCGGAGAGCCUUGCGUCCUAUUAGCUAGUUGGUGAGGUAAUGGCUCACCAAGGCGAAGAUAGGUAGCCGGCCUGAGAGGGUGGACGGCCACAAGGGGACUGAGAUACGGCCCUUACUCCUACGGGAGGCAGCAGUGGGGAAUAUUGGACAAUGGGGGCAACCCUGAUCCAGCAAUUCUGUGUGCACGAAGAAGGUUUUCGGAUUGUAAAGUGCUUUCAGCAGGGAAGAAGUAAGUGACGGUACCUGCAGAAGAAGCGACGGCUAAAUACGUG
rnacentral:rRNA from 1 species